rnacentral:rRNA from 1 species
GAUGAACGCUAGCGGGAGGCCUAACACAUGCAAGCCGAGCGGUAUUUGUCUUUCGGGACAGAGAGAGCGGCGUACGGGUGCGGAACACGUGUGCAACCUGCCUUUAUCAGGGGGAUAGCCUUUCGAAAGGAAGAUUAAUACCCCAUAAUAUAUCUGAUGGCAUCAUUAGAUAUUGAAAACUCCGGUGGAUAGAGAUGGGCACGCGCAAGAUUAGAUAGUUGGUGAGGUAACGGCUCACCAAGUCAGUGAUCUUUAGGGGGCCUGAGAGGGUGAACCCCCACACUGGUACUGAGACACGGACCAGACUGCUACGGGAGGCAGCAGUGAGGAAUAUUGGACAAUGGGUGUGAGCCUGAUCCAGCCAUCCCGCGUGAAGGACGACGGUUCUAUGGAUUGUAAACUUCUUUUAUACUGGGAUAAACCUACUCUCGUGAGGGUAGCUGAAGGUACAGUAUGAAUAAGCACCGGCUAACUCCGUGCCAGCAGCAGCCGCCG